rnacentral:tRNA from 1 species
UUUUAAUAGCUUAUUUAGAGUUUAAUAUUGAAGAUAUUAAGGAAGUUUAAUACUUUAAAGUAU